GACGAACGCUGGCGGCGUGCUUAACACAUGCAAGUCGAGCGAUGAAGUUUCUUCGGAAAUGGAUUAGCGGCGAACGGGUGAGGAACACGUGAAGAAUCUGCCCUCCACUUUGGGAUAACACAGGGAAACCUGUGCUAAUACCGAAUAUUGAAACAUAAGUGGCAUCACUGAGUUUUGAAAGAAUUUCGGUGGAGGAUGACUUCGCGGCCUAUCAGCUAGUUGGUGAGGUAAUGGCUCACCAAGGCAACGACGGGUAGCCGGCCUGAGAGGGCGACCGGCCACACUGGGACUGAGACACGGCCCAGACUCCUACGGGAGGCAGAAGUGGGGAAUAUUGGGCAAUGGAGGAAACUCUGACCCAGCGACGCCGCGUGCGGGAUGAAGGCCUUCGGGUUGUAAACCGCUUUCAGUAGGGAAGAAGCGAAAGUGACGGUACCUACAAAAGAAGCACCGGCUAACUAUGUGCCAGCAGCCGCUGUAA
rnacentral:rRNA from 1 species